rnacentral:rRNA from 1 species
AAUGAACGCUGGCGGCAUGCCUAACACAUGCAAGUCGAACGAAGUCUUCGGACUUAGUGGCGCACGGGUGCGUAACGCGUGGGAAUCUGCCCUUGGGUACGGAAUAACUCAGAGAAAUUUGUGCUAAUACCGUACUAAUGUCUUCGGACCAAAGAUUUAUCGCCCAAGGAUGAGCCCGCGUAGGAUUAGGUAGUUGGUGAGGUAAAAGCUCACCAAGCCGACGAUCCUUAGCUGGUCUGAGAGGAUGAUCAGCCACACUGGGACUGAGACACGGCCCAGACUCCUACGGGAGGCAGCAGUGGGGAAUAUUGGACAAAUGGCGCAAGCCUGAUCCAGCAAUGCCGCGUGAGUGAUGAAGGCCUUAGGGUUGUAAAGGCUCUUUUACCCGGGAUUGAGUAAUGGACAGUACCGGAGAAUAAGCUCCGGCUAACUUCGUGUCCAGCAGCCGCGGUAAAACCGUUAGCCGUG